rnacentral:rRNA from 1 species
CAGUCGCCGCGGUAAUACGGAGGGGGCUAGCGUUGUUCGGAAUUACUGGGCGUAAAGCGCACGUAGGCGGCUUGGUAAGUUAGAGGUGAAAGCCCGGAGCUCAACUCCGGAAUUGCCUUUAAGACUGCCGAGCUAGUAGGUGAGAGAGGUAAGUGGAAUUCCGAGUGUAGAGGUGAAAUUCGUAGAUAUUCGGAAGAACACCAGUGGCGAAGGCGGCUUACUGGCUCAUUCUAGACGCUGAGGUGCGAAAGCGUGGGGAGCAAACAGGAUUAGAUACCCCGGUAGUCCCUGUCUCUUAUAC